UCUCUGCAAUCUGGAUUAGGGCAAAAUACUUUCUUUCCUUUGAUUUUUCUCAAGAGAUUUUAGUUCCUUCCACUGAACUGUAUCUCAUCUGAUACCAUAAAAGUUUUCAAGCUCUACAAUGCUAGGAGUUUACAGAGCCCCUCCUGUCACCAACAGCACUUAGUUGAGUGAUAACCAUACUUUGUAGUCAUGGAAGAGAGCAAAUUGAAAAGGAUCUCUCAAGAGUCAAGUUUACACACAUAGCAUCAUCAGUGGUGAUGUUUGUCUACUUAAGCAAUAAUCCUUUUGGAAAACUUCUGCAAAAUGGAAUCUCUAUGGUUAAAAAGUCAUAAGCCAUCUCCUUCAAGUGUAUAGCUCAACUUCUACAAGCUAAAAGAUCAACAUUCAGAGAAAAGAUUGGAACCAACAAUUCUCAUCUGCUUCUUCCUUCCUAAAACUCCUCCCAACAAACCAAUAUUCUGAUACCUAGGUAUACUGAAAUAUUAAUCUAAUGCCAUAUCUGCUACAAACGGAUUUGGAGAUUCCUUGCUCCAACAGACUUUUCUUCUAGGACAUUGUUAUUUCUUGGUUAGUGAAUAUCUACUUUUUAGAGUACUUUGUAUUCUUUGGCUCAUUUUAUUCUCACAGUCACGCUGGGAGGCCUAAUAAGUAUCUUACUUCCCUAUUUCACAGAUGAGCAACUUAGGAUGACUGGCCCAGUUUCACAGAGCAAACUGGUGAUUGGACCAAGUCUAAAUGCAGUUGUAGCUCUAGGUCCAUUCUCUUUCUACCACAUCACACUGGGUGGUCUAGAAAUACAAAAAACAAGUUUCUUCUUUUUUGUUAUUUGUGCUGUUUUUCUCCUGUCAAGGCUUUUUAAAAGACUGUUUCUCUGUCCCGAGACUAAAGAAAUAGCAGUCACAGUCCUGAGGCCAGUAUAGACAUUGUAAAUGUCUUCUCGAUAGCUCUAGCCUGUGGGGCAGGAAAAUGAUAUCCUCUUAGUACUUUGACCAGUGAGAAAACUUUUAUUUUGAUGAAUUUAAAUAGCUUAGGAUUCUUAGCGUGCUGAAGGAGCCAACUCAAUAUUUCGAUAGACUAGCUAUUCCUCUCUGGAAAAUCCAGUCAUUAGUAAAGAGCAGACUGGAGACCUGAAAGAGUUAAUAUUGCUUCCAAAGGUGAAUUUAUAACCUAGAAGUAAUUCACGCAGCAAGAGAAAAUGUCUCACUUCGAAGAUGGAAAUGCCGAGCCAUGCAUACAAAUGUGAUUGCUAACUCGUGUGUGACUCAAAAUCAGCAACCAUGGAUUCCAGGGGCUAAAAAGGACCUCAAGAAGCCAUCUGGUCUGCUCUUACUUUCUCAUACUUGAAGUCUUCUCCUCAGUUUAAAAAUGUGGCACCUGAAGCUUAGAGAUGUAAGUGACCUGAUAGCAAAAUGCCAGGGUCAGAGAAAAGAUGUCUAGAACCCAGGUCUUCAGUUCCCCAGUUGUAAUGCAUUUCUUUGCUAUGCACUCCGUCUCUUUGUCAGCCUAAUUUGUUUCAAGAAUGAGGGAAUGGACAACAUAUCAGAUGGGUUAAAUGGUCAAGUAAGAAAAGACCUCAAGGAUCCAUUACAUUUAGCCAUGCAGUUUUCCCUAGUGACCUUCGAAAACACAGUUUUAGUGACAGGGUAGAGAACAGAAAUCAGAAUAGAUAAUUAAAGACAAUUUUUUAAAAACAUUGCCUCUGAAGAUAAAGGAAGAGAGAGGGCGGCAGUUGGAGGAGGAUAUGGAGUCCAGGGAGGUUUCUAUGAGAAUUUUUUUUUAAGAGGAUGAAAGAGGGAAGGUUUCCUUUAAGAUUGAA